UACGUAGGGUGCAAGCGUUGUCCGGAAUUAUUGGGCGUAAAGAGCGUGUAGGCGGCCCGGUUAGUCCACUGUGAAAGUCCAGGGCUCAACCCUGGAAUGCCGGUGGAUACUGUCGGGCUAGAGUCCGGAAGGGGCGAGUGGAAUUCCUGGUGUAGCGGUGAAAUGCGUAGAUAUCGUAAGGAAGACCAGUGGCGAAGGCGGGUCUCUGGACAGUUCCUGACGCUGAGGCACGAAGGUCAGGGGAGCAAACGGG
rnacentral:rRNA from 1 species